AUUGAACGCUGGCGGCAGGCCUAACACAUGCAAGUCGAACGAGUGGCGGACGGGUGAGUAAUGUCUGGGAAACUGCCCGAUGGAGGGGGAUAACUACUGGAAACGGUAGCUAAUACCGCAUACCAUCGGAUGUGCCCAGAUGGGAUUAGCUUGUAGGUGAGGUAACGGCUCACCUAGGCGACGAUCCCUAGCGGGUCUGAUAGGAUGACCAGCCACACGGGAACGUGGACACGGUCCAGACUCCUACGGUAGUGAGCAGUGGGGAAUAUUGCAAAAUGGGCGAAAGUCUGAUGCAGCCAGGCCGCGUGUAUGAAGAAGGCCAUCGUGUUUUAAAGUACUUUAAGCGGGGAGGCGUUACCCGCAGAAGAAGCACCGGCUAACUCCGUGCCAGCAGCCGCGGUAAUAC
rnacentral:rRNA from 1 species